rnacentral:lncRNA from 1 species
GAUUGUGCGGAGUGCGACGCAAACUAUUGUCAGGAGUGUGACCUUCUGAAUCAGAAUCAAGGCAAGUUACAUGUUGAUCAUCCUUUACCUAUUAUUUUUCUAUGCAUGUAGUAUUAUAUCACCCUAUGAAAAUUAUGCAUGUAUAGGAAGAUUAUUAUUGCUAUGCUAUUGAGCUAUAUCCCCUCGUCAUUGAAAGAUCGUGCUAGAUAUAUUUUGCUAUGCUAUGUAGACGGGGAUUGGUUCCUGUAUUCAUUGAGAUUAUGUGAGGAUUACUACAAAAUAAAAUUGAGUAGUAAUUCAGGAUAUAAUACACCUCUGGGCGGAUAUGGUAUUGCUGGGUGGUUUCAAGAAUAUCAUGGUUUCUACCCUCUGAAUGUAAGUGGAAUGCCGCCUAGGUUCAAAAAGAUCAGACAGACUUAGUGACUAGUAGCUUCCUUGUGCGACCACUGGCCAUUAUGGGCUCUGGCUUAGUUGAUCAGUCGUGGAAACCUUACCCGGAUGUGCCAGCUGAUGUAGCUAUGAUAGGUGGGAUGGGCCUCCUGUGGGACUAGGUGACUGCUUCUGAAAGACUUCGUCUCAAUCUUCGGGUUGGGUCCAGUGGGUACAGCGUACUAACCUCUGCAGAGUGUAUAAACUAAUCAUGAUUAGCCGUGUCCCCGGUUAUGGACAAUUUUGAGCAGCUAGGCCAUUACAGUUGUUGGAUGAUCUUGACAGAUGACACACUUAAUAAAACUUGGUGGGAAACUUAAUAAUGGUAAUAGGUUGGAGUUGGAGAUGCCAAUUCAACCAUAUGUGAAUUAUUGUAGCAUACAAACUAAAACUUGACUAUUAGGUAGCUAUGAGGAUAAAAUCAGCUUUCUGCAAAAUAACCAUCAGCCUUUCUCUUGUUAUACUAUGCAUAUACAUGUAGGUCUGUUAUAUUUUUUUUCCUGUGUAACUUGCCAAUACAUUCAAAGUAUUGACCUAUAUGGCUGCAACGUAUCAUGUUGCAGGAUUUUCAGACGAGGAGUAAGGUACCGUUAGGGUCGCGAGUCUUCACUCAACACCGCCAGUGGGCUAUGAUGGGACUCAUCGUUAUUAUUCUGCUACUUUUCCGCUGUUUAUUAGAAUAAAGCUAGCUAAGUGCUAUGCAGAUUGUUAUAUUUUAUAAAUUCUGGAUCAUACGUUAUUAUAACUGAUGCACUUGCUAUAUCUGGUUUUCAUCUAUACUGUGUGUGUUAGCGAGUCGAUCCAGGGACUAGCACAGUAAAGCACAGAGACUCAAAUCCUUCGAGGUUUGGUCGUUACAGAUGGUAUCAGAGCAAUGCGUUGACUGUAGGUCGUGACCCUAGAAAAUGGAUUAGAAAAGCCAUAGGAGUGAAAAUUUAUUCUAUUAACUUUGUCUACAUCUUACUCUUUCAUUAGACAACCACCCUAGUAUCUUGACCAGCUUAAGUAGGAACUAGUGUUGAGACCACCACUUAUCUUGUUUUAUUUGCGCUAUUAACGUGUUAGCGUAUCUGUUUAUGCCCGCUUUGUGGCAUGACGGUACUAGGUUGCUUGCUUGAUUGUUAUUUUGCUUGUUUGUUAAACUAGGAUCUUGUCGAGAUUAUUCGACUAUAUAUAUAGAUAUGUUUGAUUAUUGUUAUGCUUGUUUGUGUUAUUUGUUAUGAUGUUUUGUUGCCUCAUAUAUAUUACAUUGAUCAUAAUAUGCAUAUGGGUAGAAUAUCUAUAUUCCUUUAGACCUAUUCUAUCUACUUUCUUAUCUAUUCUUGCCCACCAGAUGCGGCCGAGACGUGAGCCUAGGGACGGGAAUGCAGGAGGAGGCAACAAUGAUGGCAAUGGCAAUGAUGCACCGCAAUAUGUGCGGCAGAUACUUGAGGGACAAGGCCAGUUGAUCCAGUUGCUUGCCCAGAGUUUGGCCAACAAUAACAACAACAACCCACCGCCUCCGCCACCUAUGGAUAUGCU